GGUUCGUUGGUCUAGUGGUUAUGACGCCUGCUUUACACGCAGGAUGCCGUGGGUUCAAUCCCCACACGAAUCA
rnacentral:tRNA from 1 species